GACGAACGCUGGCGGCGUGCUUAACACAUGCAAGUCGAACGGAAAGGCCCUGCUUGCAGGGUACUCGAGUGGCGAACGGGUGAGUAACACGUGGGUGAUCUGCCCUGCACUUCGGGAUAAGCUUGGGAAACUGGGUCUAAUACCGGAUAGGAGCCAUCUUUAGUGUGGUGGUUGGAAAGUUUUUUCGGUGUAGGAUGAGCUCGCGGCCUAUCAGCUUGUUGGUGGGGGAAUGGCCUACCAAGGCGGCUACGGGUAGCCGGCCUGCGAGGGUGUACGGCCACAUUUGGGCUGAGAGACGGCCCAGACUCCUACGGGGGGCAGCAGUGGGGAAUAUUGCACAAUGGGCGCAAGCCUGAUGCAGCGACGCCGCGUGGGGGAUAAAGGCCUUCGGGUUGUAAACUCCUUUCGCUAGGGACGAAGCGUGUUUGUGACGGUACCUAGAUAAGAAGCACCGGCUAACUACGUG
rnacentral:rRNA from 1 species